rnacentral:rRNA from 1 species
UUAGAGGUUUCUGGUUUUUCAAGAAAUGAAUUUAAUUCAUACGUCUUAUUUAGAGUUUUAUUAUUUGUUUAUUUAUUUUUAUUUGGCGUUAAGAUUGGGAGGGAUUAGCUUCUUAUUUUAUUUUUAUAAUUUUUUGUUUAUUUAGUCUUGUGGAUUUUAUAGUGAUUUUCAAUUUGAUUAUGUUAAAAUUUUAUUUGUUUUGUUCUGUUAUUUUUAUUUGUUUAAUUAUUUAUUGAAAUGUAUUCAUUUCUGGUUUAUGGAUAGUAAUUAUUGUAGAAUUAGUAAAUUUGUUGUUAGGUUGUUUUAUUUGUGUUAAUUUUCUUUGAGGAACUAGGCAAAUUUCAUGUCCGCCUGUUUAACAAAAACAUCUUUUCUUGUUAGUUUUUGAAGUAUGGCCUGCCCGCUGACUUUGGUGUUGAAGGGCCGCGGUAUUUUGACCGUGCAAAGGUAGCAUAGUCAUUAGUUCUUUAAUUGUGAUCUGGUAUGAAUGGCUUGACGAGGCAUGGGCUGUCUUAAUUUUGAAUUGUUUAUUGAAUUUGGUCUUUGAGUUAAAAUUCUUAGAUGUUUUUAUGGGACGAGAAGACCCUAUAGAGUUUAACAUUUGUUAUGGUCCCCUUUCUGUUUGUGAGGGUUCAUUGGGCCGUUUAAUAUGUUUUGUUGGGGUGAUGGGAGGGAUUAAUUUAA